AUUGAACGCUGGCGGCAGGCCUAACACAUGCAAGUCGAGCGAGCGGCGGACGGGUGAGUAAUGUCUGGGAAACUGCCUGAUGGAGGGGGAUAACUACUGGAAACGGUAGCUAAUACCGCAUCCCAUCAGAUGUGCCCAGGUGGGAUUAGCUAGUAGGUGGGGUAACGGCUCACCUAGGCGACGAUCCCUAGCUGGUCUGAGAGGAUGACCAGCAAAAUGGGAACUGAGACACGGUCCAGACGCCUACGGGAGGAAGCAGUGGGGAAGAUUGCACAAUGGGCGAAAGCCUGAGGCAGCCAUGCCGCGUGUGUGAAGAAGGCCGUCGGGUUGUAAAGCACUUUCAGCGGGGAGGCGUUACCCGAAGAAGAAGCACCGGCUAACUCCGUGCCAGCAGCCGCGGUAAUAC
rnacentral:rRNA from 1 species